ACUGCGGAGGAUCAUUAACGAGUCUUUGAAGUGGGUUUGACGCUGGCCUCAACCAGGCAUGUGCUCGCCCCGCUCCAAUCCACUCAACCCCUGUGCACUUCAUGUUCGAAGAUGUGACUUCCCCCGUGAGGGGAGCAGCUCGGGAGACCGAGCCGGAGUCGCUCUUUGGGCACACAUACACACAAACUCUUAUGUACCUGAAUGUAUACAAGGCCUACGGGCUUUAAACUCAAUAAAUACAACUUUCAACAACGGAUCUCUUGGCUCUCGCAUCGAUGAAGAACGCAGCGAAAUGCGAUAAGUAAUGUGAAUUGCAGAAUUCAGUGAAUCAUCGAAUCUUUGAACGCACCUUGCGCUCCUUGGCAUUCCGAGGAGCAUGCCUGUUUGAGUGUCAUGAAUUCAUCAACCCCGUAGGGAUUUUUGUCCUUCUCGGUGGCUUGGACUUGGGGGAUCCUUUGCUGGCCUUCACCGGUCGGCUCCCCUUGAAUGCAUUAGCUUGGACUUGUCCCGGCGACGUCAUAGCGUGAUAACUAUCUACGCUUUGAACCGUCUGUUGGUACCUAGUCGGUCUGGCUUCCAAUCGUCCUCGGACAAUACACCAUUCAUUUUGACCUCCAAAUCAGGUAGGACUACCCGCUGAACUUAAGCAUAUCAAAGAAUUUGCCUUAUAACUGUUGCUUUUGCUGUCCUGAGCUAACUUUACUUUCUGGGGGGCCACAGCUGCGGGAAAUGAAAUUGACACCGCCUGUAACUCCCACGGGCUUGAGUAUCCUACUCCGGAACGGAGCUUCGUGAAGUGGGCAAUACCGUGUGAGAAGUCCGAUCAAACCAACAUAUGGCAAAGUCUGUAGAAUCCUACGUGGUUAGAGUACGGAGUAAGAAUCGUUUCUAAAUUCCGGCGGACGCCAACGUGCCGCACCG
rnacentral:rRNA from 1 species